GCCCUUCCUACGGGAGGCAGCAGUGGGGAAUAUUGGACAAUGGGCGAAAGCCUGAUCCAGCCGUGCCGCGUGUGUGAAGAAGGCCUUCGGGUCGUAAAGCACUUUAAGUUGGGAGGAAGGGCUCAUAGCGAAUACCUGUGAGUUUUGACGUUACCAACAGAAUAAGCACCGGCUAACUUCGUGCCAGCAGCCGCGGUAAUAAGGGC
rnacentral:rRNA from 1 species